GACAGAGGUGCCAAGCGUUAGGCGGAAUCACUGGGCUUAAAGCGUGUGUAGGUGGAUGCCUAAGUAUCUUGUGAAAUCCCACGGCUCAACCGUGGAACUGCUGGGUAUACUGGGUGUCUUGGGUCAGCUAGGGGUCGCCGGAACAAAUGGUGGAGCGGUGAAAUGCGUAGAUAUCAUUUGGAACGCCAAUGGCGAAAGCAGGCGACUGGGGCUGUACCGACACUGAGACACGAAAGCCAGGGGAGCGAACGGG
rnacentral:rRNA from 1 species